GCCGCGUGAGGGACGACGGCCUUCGGGUUGUAAACCUCUUUUAGUAGGGAAGAAGCGAAAGUGACGGUACCUGCAGAAAAAGCACCGGAUAACUACGUGCCAGCAGCCGCGGUAAUACGUAGGGUGCGAGCGUUAUCCGGAAUUAUUGGGCGUAAAGAGCUCGUAGGCGGUUUGUCGCGUCUGCUGUGAAAACUGGAGGCUCAACCUCCAGCCUGCAGUGGGUACGGGCAAACUAGAGUGCGGUAGGGGAGAUUGGAAUUCCUGGUGUAGCGGUGGAAUGCGCAGAUAUCAGGAGGAACACCGAUGGCGAAGGCAGAUCUCUGGGCCGUUACUGACGCUGAGGAGCGAAAGCAUGGGGAGCGAACAGGAUUAGAUACCCUGGUAGUCCAUGCCGUAAACGUUGGGCGCUAGUUGUGGGGACCAUUCCACGGUUUCCGUGACGUAGCUAACGCAUUAAGCGCCCCGCCUGGGGAGUACGGCCGCAAGGCUAAAACUCAAAGGAAUUGACGGGGGCCCGCACAAGCGGCGGAGCAUGCGGAUUAAUUCGAUGCAACGCGAAGAACCUUACCAAGGCUUGACAUAUACCGGAAACGGCCAGAAAUGGUCGCCCCGCAAGGUCGGUAUACAGGUGGUGCAUGGUUGUCGUCAGCUCGUGUCGUGAGAUGUUGGGUUAAGUCCCGCAACGAGCGCAACCCUCGUCCUAUGUUGCCAGCACGUUAUGGUGGGAACUCAUGGGAGACUGCCGUGGUCAACACGGAGGAAGGUGGGGAUGACGUCAAAUCAUCAUGCCCCUUAUGUCUUGGGCUUCACGCAUGCUACAAUGGCCGAUACAAAGGGCUGCGAUACCGUAAGGUGGAGCGAAUCCCAAAAAGUCGGUCUCAGUUCGGAUUGAGGUCUGCAACUCGACCUCAUGAAGUUGGAGUCGCUAGUAAUCGCAGAUCAGCAACGCUGCGGUGAAUACGUUCCCGG
rnacentral:rRNA from 1 species